rnacentral:rRNA from 1 species
UACGUAGGGGACAAGCGUUGUCCGGAUUUACUGGGCGUAAAGAGCGCGCAGGCGGUCGUUCAAGUCGCGUGUGAAAGCCCCCGGCUCAACUGGGGAGGGUCACUCGAUACUGAUCGACUUGAAGGCAGGAGAGGGAAGCGGAAUUCCCGGUGUAGUGGUGAAAUGCGUAGAUAUCGGGAGGAACACCAGUGGCGAAGGCGGCUUCCUGGCCUGUUCUUGACGCUGAGGCGCGAAAGCUAGGGGAGCAAACGGG